AGAGUUUGAUCCUGGCUCAGAACGAACGCUGGCGGCGUGGAUAAGACAUGCAAGUCGAACGAGAGAAUUGCUAGCUUGCUAAUAAUUCUCUAGUGGCGCACGGGUGAGUAACACGUGAGUAACCUGCCCCCGAGAGCGGGAUAGCCCUGGGAAACUGGGAUUAAUACCGCAUAGUAUCGAAAGAUUAAAGCAGCAAUGCGCUUGGGGAUGGGCUCGCGGCCUAUUAGUUAGUUGGUGAGGUAACGGCUCACCAAGGCGAUGACGGGUAGCCGGUCUGAGAGGAUGUCCGGCCACACUGGAACUGAGACACGGUCCAGACACCUACGGGUGGCAGCAGUCGAGAAUCAUUCACAAUGGGGGAAACCCUGAUGGUGUGACGCCGCGUGGGGGAAUGAAGGUCUUCGGAUUGUAAACCCCUGUCAUGUGGGAGCAAAUUAAAAAGAUAGUACCACAAGAGGAAGAGACGGCUAACUCUGUGCCAGCAGCCGCGGUAAUACAGAGGUCUCAAGCGUUGUUCGGAAUCACUGGGCGUAAAGCGUGCGUAGGCUGUUUCGUAAGUCGUGUGUGAAAGGCGCGGGCUCAACCCGCGGACGGCACAUGAUACUGCGAGACUAGAGUAAUGGAGGGGGAACCGGAAUUCUCGGUGUAGCAGUGAAAUGCGUAGAUAUCGAGAGGAACACUCGUGGCGAAGGCGGGUUCCUGGACAUUAACUGACGCUGAGGCACGAAGGCCAGGGGAGCGAAAGGGAUUAGAUACCCCUGUAGUCCUGGCAGUAAACGGUGCACGCUUGGUGUGCGGGGAAUCGACCCCCUGCGUGCCGGAGCUAACGCGUUAAGCGUGCCGCCUGGGGAGUACGGUCGCAAGAUUAAAACUCAAAGAAAUUGACGGGGACCCGCACAAGCGGUGGAGUAUGUGGCUUAAUUCGAUGCAACGCGAAGAACCUUACCUGGGCUUGACAUGUAAUGAACAACAUGUGAAAGCAUGCGACUCUUCGGAGGCGUUACACAGGUGCUGCAUGGCCGUCGUCAGCUCGUGUCGUGAGAUGUUUGGUUAAGUCCAGCAACGAGCGCAACCCCUGUUGCCAGUUACCAGCACGUGAAGGUGGGGACUCUGGCGAGACUGCCCAGAUCAACUGGGAGGAAGGUGGGGACGACGUCAGGUCAGUAUGGCCCUUAUGCCCAGGGCUGCACACGUACUACAAUGCCCAGUACAGAGGGGGCCGAAGCCGCGAGGCGGAGGAAAUCCUGAAAACUGGGCCCAGUUCGGACUGUAGGCUGCAACCCGUCUACACGAAGCCGGAAUCGCUAGUAAUGGCGCAUCAGCUACGGCGCCGUGAAUACGUUCCCGGGUCUUGCACUAAGCGCCCGUCA
rnacentral:rRNA from 1 species